rnacentral:rRNA from 1 species
UAGGGAAUCUUCCGCAAUGGGCGAAAGCCUGACGGAGCAACGCCGCGUGAGUGAUGAAGGUCUUCGGAUCGUAAAACUCUGUUAUUAGGGAAGAACAAAUGUGUAAGUAACUAUGCACGUCUUGACGGUACCUAAUCAGAAAGCCACGGCUAACUACGUGCCAGCAGCCGCGGUAAUACGUAGGUGGCAAGCGUUAUCCGGAAUUAUUGGGCGUAAAGCGCGCGUAGGCGGUUUUUUAAGUCUGAUGUGAAAGCCCACGGCUCAACCGUGGGGGGUCAUUGGAAACUGGAAGACUUGAGUGCAGAAGAGGAAAGUGGAAUUCCAUGUGUAGCGGUGAAAUGCGCGGAGAUGUGGAGGAACACCAGUGGCGAAGGCGACUUACUGGUCUGUAACUGACGCUGAUGUGCAAAAGCGUGGGGAUCAAACAGG